GCCGGGGUGGCGGAACUGGCAGACGCACAGGACUUAAAAUCCUGUAUCCUUCGGGGUGUGCGGGUUCGACUCCCGCCCCCGGCA
rfam:Omnitrophica bacterium RIFCSPHIGHO2_02_FTLL_51_18 rifcsphigho2_02_scaffold_12432, whole genome shotgun sequence.